CAGGAGGAGCACAGCCCCUUAAUUGGUUUCUCCAACACUUGCAUCAGAAAGUUGUCUCCAAUGAUCUCCAAAAACUUCCUGGAUUGCCUGUGCACUGCUGUUUUGUCUUC